UCGCACAUAUUAAACCCUAAUAGAAGAAAACCUUUGUCACAAAAAAAAGGGGGCUUAUGGACAACAGGGAUUGAAACUUUCCCAACUGCCAACCAAUUUCUAGGAGAACUCCUUAAAGUUUUAAAAUACUCUUCCUUCAAUCCAAGAAAAUCUUACUUUAGAAAAUCUUAAUGACCCUCACACUGGCAUGCCUCCCGGGAGGGCGGGGGGGGGGCGUUGUGCGUUCAAAGAUUCGAUGAUUCACUGAAUUCUACACUUCACACUACUUAUCGCAUUUCGCUGCGUUCUUCCUGUUUGAGCGUCCCUAAAACUCGCGUCGGGUGAGAUUUUUCUUUAUAUAUUAAUGAAGAGAUCUUAAAAACUUUAUUGAGUUCUCCUUUUAAAAUGAUUAUGUUAUGGAAAAGUUAUCAAAUCCCUUAUUGUGUAAAAAAAAAACAGGGGUUUGGGGGGACGAAUGAUAUCUAGCUUCAAAUUCUGAUUUCUAUUAUGGCUGACCUCAAAUCAGGUAAAAGAUACCCGCUGAACUUAAGCAUAUCAAUAAGGCGGGAGGG
rnacentral:misc_RNA from 1 species